rnacentral:lncRNA from 1 species
UUAAAUCUUUGAAGUUUUCGAUGAUCGGUAGAGAGGGUUAACAUUGUAUUAUAUGUUGCACUUAUCAAGUCACCCAAGGGAAUGUUACAUGUCAAAACAAUAGUUGUCAAAAUUGCCAGAUAUUAUUUUUUCCCUAUGAAUUUUACAGAUAUUCUUGUCAAUUCCGUUGACUAAUAGAUUAAUAAGUGGAGACUAUCUUUUCAACUUGUGAUCGUAAACGUCUUCAUUAGUCAAUAUCAACUAAUUAAUUAACCAUCUUCAACAAGAAUUUCACUUUUUCGUUAGAGUGCUUAAAGGUUGGUGUUUUAAGAUGACACUUCCAAGUUUUAAUAUGAUGAUAUGGCUCACCAAGUUCAAACGAGCUAGUGAAUUUCAAAAUUAAGUUUCUUAAAUGAGUCAUUAUCUUGUGGAACAUAAUAAGUCGAAUAAGCAAACAGUGUAUAUUCUAAAAUUGAAUGAAACAAAAGACUGAAACUGCACUCAAGAUUUACCCUAAACAACAAAUGCAAUACCAUCAAAUUACAAGGAAAAAAAAUAAAAUCAAACAAUGCCUAACUGUAAGAAAAAUAGAUGUAACACUCUGCUAUACAAAUUUCUACAGUCAUUUCCCCCAAGAUGGCUCCUGAACACGGAAAAUUUUCGUGAGCACCUGUCACCUAGCAUAUGAACGCAGACCACCUAGCAUGUAUAUUUAUAAAUAUAUGAAUCUUGACUAGCUUAUUUAUUGUAGGUGAGAAGUGGACAAUGAAGACCAAGAUAGUGAAAACCUAUCUAGUGCACAAGUUAAUUACAUGUCACGAACAUGGAGGACAUUGGGAUGCUUGACUACAAUAUCAUACAUUUGAUUUGAACUUGGAAAAGCCCCUAGGUCAAGAAAAUGAGAUCAAUAGAAGAGUGCUUGUGGAAUUGGAAUAGUUGUGGGUCACCACCAUAAUACCUGUCCCAACCUAAAUCCCUCAGAACCCGCUCACUAAAAUAAAUUAAGGCUAUGUUUGAUUGUAUCCCAAUUCCAUGAAAAAUGUAAAUCAAAUUUCAUCUUUCCAAUUUUUUGUUGUUUGAUUGGCAAAAUUUUAUGUUGGACAUGGGCUGGUGCUUCACUGUUAAUUGAACUCUAGCCAAUGUUAAUGAGCUGGACAUUCGUUUGGGCCUCACAGUAAACUCGGUCAUUUGAAUGACCCAAGUUAAAAACGUGUUGUUGGUUAACACGACUAUGACCUUUUGUUUUCUGAUUGAUCUUGGACCAUUCAUCUGACUUAUUCCCAGCCGUUGG